ACACGUCUACAUUAGAUACCCCCGUAGUCCCAGCCGUAAACUAUGCGCGUUAGGUGUAUCGGUGACCACGAGUUACCGAGGUGCCGAAGGGAAACCGUGAAACGUGCCGCCUGGGAAGUACGGUCGCAAGGCUGAAACUUAAAGGAAUUGGCGGGGAGCACCACAACGGGUGGAGCCUGCGGUUUAAUUGGACUCAACGCCGGGAAGCUCACCGGAUAGGACAGCAGAAUGAUUGCCGGGCUGAAGACCCUGCAUGACUAGCUG
rnacentral:rRNA from 1 species